UACGUAGGGUGCGAGCGUUGUCCGGAAUUACUGGGCGUAAGGAGCUCGUAGGUGGUUUGUCGCGUUGUUCGUGAAAACUCACAGCUCAACUGUGGGCGUGCGGGCGAUACGGGCAGACUUGAGUACUGCAGGGGAGACUGGAAUUCCUGGUGUAGCGGUGGAAUGCGCAGAUAUCAGGAGGAACACCGGUGGCGAAGGCGGGUCUCUGGGCAGUAACUGACGCUGAGGAGCGAAAGCGUGGGGAGCGAACAGG
rnacentral:rRNA from 1 species